rnacentral:rRNA from 1 species
GACGAACGCUGGCGGCGUGCUUAACACAUGCAAGUCGAACGGAAAGGCCCUGCUUUGGUGGGGUGCUCGAGUGGCGAACGGGUGAGUAACACGUGAGUACCCUGCCCCUGACCUUGGGAUAACUUCAGAAAACUGGGGCUAAUCCCAGAUAGGAGCUCCUGCCGCAGGGUGGGGGUUGGAUAGUUUCGGCGGUUGGGGAUGGACUCGCGGCUUGUCAGCUUGUUGGGGGGGUAGUGGCUUACCAAGGCCUUGAGCGGUAGCCGGCCUGAGAGGGUGAGCGGCCCCAUUGGGACUGGGAUGCGGCCCGGACUCCUCCGGGAGGCAGCGGUGGGGAAUGUUGCACAAUGGGCGGAAGCCUAAUGCAGCAACGCCGCGUGCGGGAUGACGGCCUUCGGGUUGUAAACCGCUUUCGCCUGUGACGAAGCGUGAGUGACGGUAAUGGGUGAAGAAGCACCGGCUAACUACGUG